CACACUGGAACUGAGACACGGUCCAGACUCCUACGGGAGGCAGCAGUAGGGAAUAUUGCGCAAUGGGGGAAACCCUGACGCAGCAACGCCGCGUGGAGGAUGACACUUUUCGGAGCGUAAACUCCUUUUCUUAGGGAAGAAUUCUGACGGUACCUAAGGAAUAAGCACCGGCUAACUCCGUGCCAGCAGCCGCGGUAAUACGGAGGGUGCAAGCGUUACUCGGAAUCACUGGGCGUAAAGGGCGCGUAGGCGGAUUAUCAAGUCUCUUGUGAAAUCUAAUGGCUUAACCAUUAAACUGCUUGGGAAACUGAUAGUCUAGAGUGAGGGAGAGGCAGAUGGAAUUGGUGGUGUAGGGGUAAAAUCCGUAGAUAUCACCAAGAAUACCCAUUGCGAAGGCGAUCUGCUGGAACUCAACUGACGCUAAGGCGCGAAAGCGUGGGGAGCAAACAGGAUUAGAUACCCUGGUAGUCCACGCCCUAAACGAUGUACACUAGUUGUUGGGGUGCUAGUCAUCUCAGUAAUGCAGCUAACGCAUUAAGUGUACCGCCUGGGGAGUACGGUCGCAAGAUUAAAACUCAAAGGAAUAGACGGGGACCCGCACAAGCGGUGGAGCAUGUGGUUUAAUUCGAAGAUACGCGAAGAACCUUACCUGGGCUUGAUAUCCUAAGAACCUUUUAGAGAUAAGAGGGUGCUAGCUUGCUAGAACUUAGAGACAGGUGCUGCACGGCUGUCGUCAGCUCGUGUCGUGAGAUGUUGGGUUAAGUCCCGCAACGAGCGCAACCCACGUAUUUAGUUGCUAACGGUUCGGCCGAGCACUCUAAAUAGACUGCCUUCGUAAGGAGGAGGAAGGUGUGGACGACGUCAAGUCAUCAUGGCCCUUAUGCCCAGGGCGACACACGUGCUACAAUGGCAUAUACAAUGAGACGCAAUACCGCGAGGUGGAGCAAAUCUAUAAAAUAUGUCCCAGUUCGGAUUGUUCUCUGCAACUCGAGAGCAUGAAGCCGGAAUCGCUAGUAAUCGUAGAUCAGCCAUGCUACGGUGAAUACGUUCCCGGGUCUUGUACUCACCGCCCGUCACACCAUGGGAGUUGAUUUCACUCGAAGCCGGAAUACUAAACUAGUUACCGUCCACAGUGGAAUCAGCGACUGGGGUGAAGUCGUAACAAGGUAACCGUAGGAGAACCUGCGGUUGGAUCACCUCCUUUCUA
rnacentral:rRNA from 2 species